rnacentral:rRNA from 1 species
AGAUUGAACGCUGGCGGCAUGCCUAACACAUGCAAGUCGAACGGGAGUAGCAAUACUCUAGUGGCGGACGGGUGAGGAAUACGUAGGAAUUUGGCCCUUAAGUGGGGGAUGACCCGGGGAAACCCGGAUUAAUACCGCAUGACCUCGAAAGAGCAAAGUGGGGGAUCGCAAGACCUCACGCUUUUGGAGAAGCCUACGUCGGAUUAGCUAGUUGGUGAGGUAAUGGGCUCACCAAGGCGACGAUCCGUAACUGGUCUGAGAGGAUGAUCAGUCACACCGGAACUGAGACACGGUCCGGACUCCUACGGGAGGCAGCGAGUGGGGGAAUAGUUGGGACAAUGGGCGCAAGCCUGAUCCAGGCAAUGCCGCGUGUGUGAGAAGGCUUCGGUGUAAG